rnacentral:tRNA from 1 species
GUUUUAAUAAUUUAAAAAAAAAUACUGGUCUUGUAAACCGGAAAUAAGUCACACUUUUAAAACU